GGCAAAGGGCCAUGCCAGCAUCCCCUCCUGCUGAUCUAGGGUUUCUUGAGUUGGAUCUUUCAAGUGCCUCCAAUCAGAUGUCCAGUGGGAACGUCUUUGCAGCUGCUCAUGGCAGCUCCAGGGUCAAUGGUAUUCCCAGACACAGCAGCACAGCACUCCAGGUGGAAACAGAGGAAGAAAGAGAGGUGUCCCUUGCAGUUUUGAAUCCCUUCUCUUCCUCAAAUCAGUGUCAGGAGUCAACAGGUGUGUAGAGCACAGGUCCACACAGGAAGCAUGAGACAGUGGUGCUGGGACACGACAGGAGGUGAUGAGCAUUUUCAGAAGAGCUCAUGCUAUGAGUGCUGAGAUCCCACUAGUAUAGGAAAUCCUGGUGCCUGUCAGGAUGUAGGUGACUGUCGACAGAAGUUAAAUAGGUAGAGAAGCAGAGGCAAGCAGAGCUCUGUACGAUUGAGGACAACCUCUGGGGCAUGCUGAAGUUUAAGAACACCUAACUGAGGACAGCUGGUUGAAGAAUCACAUGUUCUGGGUUCUAACCUCAGUUCUACUGUUUACUAUGACAUCACAGAGCUGGUGUGUCCAUUAAAGAGAAAGGAUACUGAUAGGAUUCGAGUCUAGACCUGCACUCUGUGGAUGAUACCUCGAGAAUCAGAUGCUGUCAGCAGAUGCGACUGGGCACGGUAGUGUGCAGCUGAAAUUGCAGACAUUCGGGUUCCUGGGUGAGCUUAGGAAGUGUCUCAAAAAUGGACAGCACUGCAGGACUGGCAAAGACUGAACAUUCUAUGGUAGAAGAGUUUGCUCCCAUAUAACCGACAGAGACCCAACACAUGAUGGCACAAUGAACCCAUAGUUCUUUGAAGAAACAGCUAAAAAGAAUGCACUCAUCUGUGAAUGCAGGGGGGGCACAGGCAGAGCAAAUUUUCCCUUUGUGGGUGCUGAAGAUGUCUGGGUACUUGCUGCAAUGAGAGAGGCAGUAGAAUUCAUUGCAUGUCCCUGCUUUGUGAACACUCAAGAUUGCUGCUCUGUUUCAUUACUCAUACACUGCAUCUACGGGGAGCUCUGUGUCAUCAUUACAACCUUUGAGAAUUCACUGCUGGUCCAGUGUCAAGAAUGAACGGCGAGAGGACAAGUGAGAAUCUAAGUACUCAGUGAGACCGAGCAUUGAAGGCUGAGAAGACUCAACUGCCCUCUUUGCAAAAGUUGGGAAUUCACAAGCAUCACAACAGACCUUUGAAGAUAGAGUGGGCAAGAGCCAGUCCCCUGAGAUUCAGCAUUUGUUCAUUUAACAAAUAUUUUCCAUCUCAUAUAUGCCACUUUAUUAACCUUGUGGAAUGGAAAGAAAACACAACCCCCAGCCCUUACUUUUGAACUUACUUUAAAAGCCUUAUGAAUUAGGGAGAAUGUUGUGAGCAUUUAAACAACUAAGGUAAAUGGUAAUGAAAAUGAUAAUACAAAAAUUGUCAUGGCUGGCAAUGGAGGUUCAAGCCUAUACUUACACAAGUGAGAGAGUCAAGAAGAUCACAACCCCAAGACCACUCUAGUCUACAUAGUAUGUUUGAGACCAGUUAGGGGUAUGCAAUGAGACCCUGUGUCAACAAAGCAAAACAAAACAAAACAAAACAAAACAAAACAAAACAAUGGAAUGAGCAGAGACAAUAUGAGAUCAAGCUCUUGAAGAAUGGGGUUUAUGAAGCCCCUUGCUGUUUAAAACCAUCACAUUCCUCAUCCCAAGGAUUAUAGAGGUGAUAAUCCUUUAACACAAGCCUGCUUAACUUGCCAAAUGGACAGCUUCACCAAAAUGGUCAAUCAGGCUCUUUCCUGGAAACUUAAAAGUAAACGACUUUGGUUUGGAUGGUUUCCUUUGUAAAAAAGAGAUGAGAACAUCUGUAACAGUCAUUUUCUACAAGGAACAAGUAAAGACUGUUAGUUUCAGAGAAGAAAAAGGAUGAGCCAAGUCAGUAUGAUGAAAUGGAGACAAGCAGAGCAGAGAAGGCACUCUAGCUCCCUAAUGGACUCUCUUCCUUGUUGGAGUCUCUCUGUUGCUCAGUUUUCUUCCUCCUUGAGGUCAUGAGACACUUAUAUCUGUAAUAGUUCACUUGGCAUCUCACAAGCCUUUAUUCCUUAAAAUUCUGGGGGUUCUGGAUCCAUGUUUGGGAUGCUUUCCUAAGCUCUACCUCCCUGGCCAUGUACAUUACUAUACAUAUGUAUAUAUGUAUAUAUAGUAUAUACACAUAUUCCUACCAAAGACUUUUGGUCCUUCUAAAUGUUCUCACUCUCUUCUUUCAGUCUCCAGAGAUACUUCAAAUAAUUUUUCUUACAUAAACAUUUUGUAAAAUAGGCAUUCUCAUCUUCAUUUCACAGAUAAAUUUAACUUGCUAAGCAAUUAUUUUACCCAACUCCAUGUAUCUACCAAUAGCAGAGCUGUGAUAUGAACUAUUGAGGCAGUGUGACUCCUAAAUGCUUUCUCCUAACCACCAAAUGACCCCCUAUCUCUUUCACUGUGACCUACCACAAGAAGCAUUUCACAGGAUGAUCUGCUUAUGGGGGAGGAGGAGACAGGAGGAUCCCUGAAACUUAUUCGGCAUCUUGUUUUGCCCAUGGCUACAUCCAGCCUGCCACCAACUUCUCUAGGAAUAUUUCUUGACUCUUCCUCUUCAUUCUACAUGGAUAAGAAAGCCUUGUGCUGUAAAUGAUAAGGGCACAAGCUAUAAGGACCCCAAAUCUCCAAAUCAUCACAUGGUAGAAGAACUAUGCAAGAGUUCCCAACCCUCAAAGAGUAAAUGGGAAAGCAACAUUGAUUAGGUUCAGCCAUUGUAGUUUCAGCUUAUUUGUUAGAAAAGAUACCAAUUUUCCUGCAUUGAUCUACCAGCAGUGUUCCAAACCUUGGGUAUGCAGUGGUGGGAGCCUAUGAUACUUGGGAUGCAUACAAAGAGCAUUUUUAUAGCAGUUUGGUCCAUGCUUAUAGAGAUGCAAUUUGUUUUAUUAAUGACAGAGAUUACUCUUGAUAUAUACUAAUCCCAGUGCCUCUGUGGCUACUAAGGGAAUAUUCCCACUAGGGUCUUUUCCAUCAUCGAUGGAGAAGAUUCUUCCUGUGGUUUCAUUGAUAGCAACUAAAAAAGUUCUGUCUGUCUGUCUGUCUGUCUGUCUCUUGGGAUAUACUUUGUUCAUUUUCACCAGUUCAAAUGAGAAAUCACUGUUGCCAAUUUGACAAACUUCAAGUUUGGGAGAAUAAAGGAAAUCUUACCAAAGUGAUUUGAUUAAGAAUCUCCAGUUUCCCUGAGUGGAGGAAAUGCUGCUGCUAUUCUCGAGUCUCUUUGGUGAUGUCGAAACUACGGUUCCAGUGUAGAAAGAACAUGCUUUGGAUUGACAUGGCCAACUGUCACUGUGAGAUCACAUUUGCACAAUAAUGAGAUGAUAUCAAUAUCAGAAGGCUGAUACAAGAAUUAAAGAAGAUAAAU
rnacentral:lncRNA from 1 species